CGGCCACAUUGGGACUGAGACACGGCCCAGACUCCUACGGGAGGCAGCAGUGGGGAAUAUUGCACAAUGGGGGAAACCCUGAUGCAGCGACGCCGCGUGGAGGAAGAAGGUCUUCGGAUUGUAAACUCCUGUUGUUGAGGAAGAUAAUGACGGUACUCAACAAGGAAGUGACGGCUAACUACGUGCCAGCAGCCGCGGUAAAACGUAGGUCACAAGCGUUGUCCGGAAUUACUGGGUGUAAAGGGAGCGCAGGCGGGAAGACAAGUUGGAAGUGAAAUCCAUGGGCUCAACCCAUGAACUGCUUUCAAAACUGUUUUUCUUGAGUAGUGCAGAGGUAGGCGGAAUUCCCGGUGUAGCGGUGGAAUGCGUAGAUAUCGGGAGGAACACCAGUGGCGAAGGCGGCCUACUGGGCACCAACUGACGCUGAGGCUCGAAAGUGUGGGUAGCAAACAGGAUUAGAUACCCUGGUAGUCCACACCGUAAACGAUGAUUACUAGGUGUUGGAGGAUUGACCCCUUCAGUGCCGCAGUUAACACAAUAAGUAAUCCACCUGGGGAGUACGACCGCAAGGUUGAAACUCAAAGGAAUUGACGGGGGCCCGCACAAGCAGUGGAGUAUGUGGUUUAAUUCGAAGCAACGCGAAGAACCUUACCAGGUCUUGACAUCCAACUAACGAAGUAGAGAUACAUUAGGUGCCCUUCGGGGAAAGUUGAGACAGGUGGUGCAUGGUUGUCGUCAGCUCGUGUCGUGAGAUGUUGGGUUAAGUCC
rnacentral:rRNA from 1 species